rnacentral:rRNA from 1 species
GCACCACCGGCGGACGGCUCAGUAACACGUCGGUAACCUACCCUCGGGAGGGGGAUAACCCCGGGAAACUGGGGCUAAUUCCCCAUAGGCCUGAGGUACUGGAAGGUCCUCAGGCCGAAAGGGACUUAUGUCCGCCCGAGGAUGGGCCGGCGGCCGAUUAGGUAGUUGGUGGGGUAAUGGCCCACCAAGCCGAAGAUCGGUACGGGCUGUGAGAGCAGGAGCCCGGAGAUGGACACUGAGACACGGGUCCAGGCCCUACGGGGCGCAGCAGGCGCGAAACCUCCGCAAUGCGGGAAACCGCGACGGGGGGACCCCGAGUGCCGUGGCAACGCCACGGCUUUUCCGGAGUGUAAAAAGCUCCGGGAAUAAGGGCUGGGCGAGGCCGGUGGCAGCCGCCGCGGUAAUACCGGCGGCCCGAGUGGUGGCCGCUAUUAUUGGGCCUAAAGCGUCCGUAGCCGGGCCCGUAAGUCCCUGGCGAAAUCCCACGGCUCAACCGUGGGGCUUGCUGGGGAUACUGCGGGUCUUGGGACCGGGAGAGGCGGGGGGUACCCCUGGGGUAGGGGUGAAAUCCUAUAAUCCCAGGGGGACCGCCAGUGGCGAAGGCGCCCCGCUGGAACGGGUCCGACGGUGAGGGACGAAGGCCAGGGGAGCAAACCGGAUUAGAUACCCGGGUAGUCCUGGCUGUAAAGGAUGCGGGCUAGGUGUCGGGUGAGCCUCGAGCUCGCCCGGUGCCGUAGGGAAGCCGUUAAGCCCGCCGCCUGGGGAGUACGGCCGCAAGGCUGAAACUUAAAGGAAUUGGCG